UUUGUGUUGCGUAAUUUAUGGUCGAUUCCUAAAUUGUUAAACUUCCGUUUGUAAAAUCAUAUGCUAUAUAAGUAAAAGGCAUACAGAAAAUCUAAGAUUUGAAUUUAGAUUUUUUAACAAAUACUGUUAGCAAAAUGUUUUUUAAGAUACUUGCUUUGUUGCUAUUAAUGCAAGAUAUUGAGCCUUAUGGUUUUUUAUCAGAUAUCUAUCAGAUGGAGUUUCUCAAUUCGACAACAAAAUCAAGCCCGGCAAUAUCUAGAAGAUCAAUUGCAAAUCAAAAGGGUAUUGAGCCAUUGAGUAAUUUAUCAAGAGGCAUUGAAACAGAUUUGUUUAUAAGGGAAACAAAAUUAAGCAAGCCAAUUUUUAAAAGAGAAAUUACAAACCCAAAGGUUUAUAAACGAGAUGCAAAGAGCUAUCGGUUGUUUAAAGAAAUAGAUAACAAUAAAAAGAAAUUCCACCGAGCCCGAAAAAAUUAGGAAAAUGGGUUGAAAGGAUUGGGAAAUCUAAGGAUUCAUUACCUAAUAUAAAUUUUAUCACGUUAUAUUAGAUUUAUUACUUUAUAUUAUAUAUUCUAUUCAAUAUUGAUUCUUAAUUUCAAAAUUUUCAAUUUUUAAAUUUGCAUUUAAAAAUAUAAAUGACUGUCUUUGUUUAAAACGUCUAUUUUUGUUUUAUUAUUCAUAUUUUCUUUUAUUGUAUUUUUUAUUGUUUAAAUUUAAACAUAAAAGAGUCUAUUGUUUUGUUGUGUGUGUUUCUUGCUUUGUCGACACAAACAUGGAAAUGCAAGAUAUUUGAUUUGCUACAAAUGAAUAUAAAUGAUAAGUAAUUAUCUCUGAUUUAGUACAUAGCCGGACACUAAAUGAAUCUAGAAUGUCUAAAAGUAACAUAAUUAGUGGGUUUAAGCCACCAAACCCAUUCAUUCCGACGACUACAUUUUCAGAAAAUAAUAUAAAAUACGUAGUCUACUGGCAGUGUAAUUAUUGUAGAAUUAUCUACAAUAAUUACACAGCCAGCAGACUGCGUAUGAUUUUUUUGCACUAUCUUAAUCGAUAAUCAGUAAGUUCGGUAAAUUUUUCCCGAACCUUAUGAGAUAACAAGUCAGACAAAAUAACCCCUACUUGGCCAGGUUUAUUGGUAUUUACCAAUGGCGAUACUUAAUAGUAAGUAUCUCCAUGGUUUUUACGCAAAAAAUUAGGAUUCUAGUAUAAAAUAAAAUAAUUAGAUUUUUUAGAAAAAGUUAUAGAUGAUUUGAACAAAUUAUGGAAAAAAAAAAUAAAUAUAAUUAAUUGUUUGAAAAUCUGUUGGAUUUAAAGUAAUGUAAACACUGAAAAAGUAGCUGUAAGGUAAUAUACAUAAUAUAGGAAAAUAACUUACCAAUUGUUACUUACUAGUUGUGUUUUUUAAAAAAAAGUAUGGAAACGGGCAAUUUUAAAAAUAAAGCCGUAUAAAAUGCUAUUAUUUAUCCAAUCUGUGUGUCUUUUCCUGAAAUUAAUAAAUUCCCAGUGGGAAGAAAAACAUCUUUAGACCAAUAAAAGGCGUCUUUUUAUGACUUGUUAUGUCUUUUUAUAAUGAGCCAAAAUAAAGACGUGGAAAGACGUCUUUUAAAAAGACGUCUUCAAAAAAGAGGUGAAAAAGACGUCAAUCGGUUGUUAAUAAGGAAAUCAUUAUUUGCUUAAGAAAAUUAAAAAUAAUUAUUGCCAAUACAACCUAACAAAAAUGGGUUUUAACCCACAGCAUCGUAAUUACGAUAUCUUUGUUACGUUCUGAUUGGCCCGUUUUUGUUUACAAAAUACUUUUAUAUAACUUUUAUGUGAAACGUUUUUGCAUAGGAAAUUUAAAUAAAAAUCAACUUUUUUUGCUGCUUAGCAAAAAAAAUGUUAGUCGGAAGAAGCAAAAGUGGAUGGCGUGGUGCCAGUAAGAUGGUAUCGAUAUGAUCUAGUCUUAAUUAAGUUAGUCGUAGAUUUUUAGACUGUUUACCGUUUAAUUCCUGUCUCAAUCUAACGUAGUGGGUUCAAAAAGAAGGGACUGCGCUGGAAACAUGAGUGGAUUAAAAGGAUCAGCCCUUUUUGAAUUAAAAAUGGUUUAUUCGUUUUUUAGAAGUGGUAACCAGCUAGAAGGCGUAACCUGCUCGUACGAAAGGAUUUCUCGACGUGAAAUUGUUAAUUUUAUUCAACAACGCCAAGAAAUAGAGCUAGCUCAAGAAAUAGAAAAUAAAGAGAAAGAUGAAAAAUAUUCUGUUGAACAAUACUAUUGUUUUAUUUAUAAAUUAUUUUCCUAUAUUUAAACAUAUAAAAAAUGUAGAAAA
rnacentral:lncRNA from 1 species